rnacentral:rRNA from 1 species
GUAGGUGGCAAGCGUUGUCCGGAAUUAUUGGGCGUAAAGCGCGCGCAGGUGGUCUUUAAGUCUGAUGUGAAAGCCCCCGGGCUCAACCGGGGAGGGUCAUUGGAAACUGGGGAACUUGAGUGCAGGAGAGGAAAGUGGAAUUCCACGUGUAGCGGUGAAAUGCGUAGAUAUGUGGAGGAACACCAGUGGCGAAGGCGACUUUCUGGCCUGUAACUGACACUGAGGCGCGAAAGCGUGGGGAGCAAACAGGAUUAGAUACCCUGGUAGUCCACGCCGUAAACGAUGAGUGCUAAGUGUUGGGGGGUUUCCGCCCCUCAGUGCUGCAGCUAACGCAUUAAGCACUCCGCCUGGGGAGUACGGUCGCAAAGACUG